GUAAGUCGGGACCUAAGCCGAGAGCGAAAGCUGUAGGCGAUGGACAACAGGUUGAUAUUCCUGUACCACCGAAAGUCGUUUGAGCGAAGUGGGGACACAGAAGGAUAGGUUGAGCACGCUGUUGGUAAUGCGUGUCCAAGCGUCGAGGGAGGACUGAUAGGCAAAUCCGUUAGUUCAAUUCUGAGGCGUGAUGGGGUGGUCGUAAGGCUGGAAGCAACUGAUUUCACACUGUCAAGAAAAGCCGCUAGCGAGACCGUAGGUGCCCGUACCGCAAACCGACACAGGUAGAUGAGGAGAGAAUCCUAAGGUGAGCGAGAGAACUAUUGUUAAGGAACUCGGCAAAAUAACCCCGUAACUUCGGGAGAAGGGGUGCUCCGGAAACGGAGCCGCAGUGAAAAGUCCCAGGCGACUGUUUACCAAAAACACAGGUCUCUGCGAAAGCGAAAGCUGAAGUAUAGGGGCUGACGCCUGCCCGGUGCUGGAAGGUUAAGGGGAUGUGUUAGAGCAAUCGAAGCACUGAACUUAAGCCCCAGUAAACGGCGGCCGUAACUAUAACGGUCCUAAGGUAGCGAAAUUCCUUGUCGGGUAAGUUCCGACCCGCACGAAAGGCGUAACGAUCUGGGCACUGUCUCGACAAUAGACUCGGUGAAAUUGUAGUACCGGUAAAGAUGCCGGUUACCCGCAGCAGGACGGAAAGACCCCAUGGAGCUUUACUGUAGCUUGAUAUUGAGAUUCGGCGUUGCAUGUACAGGAUAGGUGGGAGACUGCGAGACUAGUACGCCAGUAUUAGAGGAGUCACCGUUGGGAUACCACCCUUGUAACGUUGGAUUUCUAACAUUGCGCCGUGAACCGGCGUGUGGACAGUGUCAGGUGGGCAGUUUGACUGGGGCGGUCGCCUCCUAAAGAGUAACGGAGGCGCCCAAAGGUUCCCUCAGUGCGGUCGGAAAUCGCGCGAAGAGUGUAAAGGCAGAAGGGAGCUUGACUGCGAGACAGACAAGUCGAGCAGGGACGAAAGUCGGGCUUAGUGAUCCGGUGGUUCCGCGUGGAAGGGCCAUCGCUCAACGGAUAAAAGCUACCCUGGGGAUAACAGGCUGAUACCGCCCAAGAGUUCACAUCGACGGCGGUGUUUGGCACCUCGAUGUCGGCUCGUCUCAUCCUGGGGCUGAAGUAGGU
rnacentral:rRNA from 1 species